CACUGGUUUACAGCCGGCCUGGGCACUGCCUUUUACGUUAUAUUCGUGUGCCUGCCAAGUGAGGCACAUAUCCAGUUUUGGUAAAUGAAGGCUUGUUUUCUUUACGAUUUAUUCAUUCAUCAAAUAUUUAUGGAGCUUGUCCUGGGUGGCAGUGUUCUACCAAGUGUUAGGGACAGCAAUGAAGCAGUUAUUUGCGGUCCUCAACUCUGGGAACUAACUCUUUUGUAUGAGACAGAGAGAAGACGACCAAACACAUGGGAAAGGGUGCCCUGAGAGGAGUUACCAGGAGGUGCUUAAAACAAUGUUGCUGGCUGGCUUUCGCUUAGCCAUUCGUUCCUUCAUGCAACAAACAAUUUGUUUGCUCUAGGACCCACCAAUAACCUAAGGAAAGAACCUCUAGCUUGAAGGGCUUACCUUUGUGCAGAGGGUGCAGGCCCUAUAGCAGUGGUUCUCAACUGUGGGUUGGGACACCCUACCCCCACCCGUCGAGCCUAACAACUCUUUCACAGGGGCCACCUAAGGCCUCUGGAAAACACAGAUAUUUACAUUAUGAUUCAGAGCAGUAGCAAAAGUAACGGUCAUGAUGAAGUAGUAAUAAAAAUACUUGUGUGGCUGAGGUGACCACAGCAUGAAGAACUGUAUUGACGGGACGCAGCGUCAGGAGGGUAGAGAACCACUGCCAUAUAAGACGGAAGCACAAGGCACAGUGUGAGGGUGAACCGAACGCCGAAGAGGCCCUGAGCGUCCUGAUGGUCGGGGAUUCACUCCAACUACAGAAAUGGGAUAUUUGAGUAAGAUGCGGGGAUGACUGUGCUCAAGUCCUGCAGGGAUAAAGAAGUCCCAAACUGUCAUUCUGGCUCCAAAGAGGCUUGUAGCUGGCUGCCUCAUCAUGCUCGCUCCAAGGACAUUGCCUUAUUUCCCUGCCGAACCACACUGGAAGGAACAGAAGACCCAAGGCCUAAAUAGAAGCAGAUGUAAGAACUCACAAAGCUAGGCAAGUCCUGUCUCCUUUACUUUUUUGUAAUCAAACGGGGUCCAUAAAUUUUUGUUAAAAAUAAAUUUGGAGUCACUUUGUUGGUCCCCCUCCUUCAUUCACUCCUUCCCUCCUUCCCUGCCCCCUCUCUACUUCUCUCCUUCUCUCCCUUUCCUCACUCUCCAUUUCUUUCCUCCUCCAUUCCAUCCAUCUCUCUCUGAAAACAAGCAAUGUCUCCUCAUGACCACACAGCAUCCUUAAUAUCAGGCAGCCGGAGCGACUAUACUCAAAGAGUGGUUUAUCUCCGAUAGGUGAAGGGAUGGGGCUCGUGACUCCUUUCUCCAAAUAUUAACAGCUAAUCAUGCAGCCAGCCAUAGCCACAUGCUUGCUGACACCAGUAAUUGUCUGCUUGUAGGAAUCAGUGCCUGAGGGAAGCCAGAAGGACACAGCUGAGCUUCUCUGAACGAGCCAUGUAGGCUACAGGGUGACACAUGGGGCCUGGUAGCUGGAAGCUGUGAGGGGAGAGAUUCCACCGACUUCUACUGCUAGUUACUGGUCCUGGGCGAGAUCUCCUUGGCCUCUUUGGGAAUUUUAUAUGUUCUCUCUCUCUCUCUCUCUCUCUCUCUCUCUCUCUCUCUCUCUCUCUGUGUGUGUGUGUGUGUGUGUGUGUGUGUGUGUGUGUUUGUUUGAGUGAAUUGAGUGACUGAGAAUUUUGUGUCUGGGUUAAUUUAAUUUCAGAGCUAAAGCAGUCACAGGUAAUGGCUCCCCAAACAUUAUGAAAUGUAUUUAUCUGAUUUGGGGAAAAUCAUUCUCUCCAGUCAUAUUGGAAAUAGGAUCCAAGGCUUGCUAGGGAGAAUAAUGAACUCCCAAAUAUAUCCACCUCUUCAUUUGUAAAUUUGGGAAUAUGUGAUAUUGAAUAGCAACAGGGGCUCUGAUGUUGAUUACUGAUUAGCCUCAUGGGUCUUGCUGCUAGAGAUGGGAGAUUCUCUCGGAUUAUCCAGGUAGUUUCCUCUGUGGAGAAAUAUUCCUAGCUUCAUUCAAACAGAAUAUAUUAAUAACAGAAGGCCAAAAAAAUGUCUUCACAUUGCUGGUUUAAGCGAUGGAGGGAGGGGCUUCAGCCCAAAAGAUGCAGGCAACGGUAGACUCUAGCAAAAGGAAGGGAGCAGUUUUCUCUGUCGAAACUGAAAGGGAAUAGCACACCCUUGGAUCUCAGGCUCUGGCCUGUGUAAGUCCACUUCUGCCCCCGGAAGCACAGCCACAUUAACUGUGCACACUGCAGGUCCAGGGAGGGCAGAGUAGUGGCGCACACCUUUAGUCCCAGCACUUAGGGGACAGGGACAGGUAGGUUUCUGUGAGUUCGAGGCCACCCUGGUCAGAGUGAAUUCCAGGAUAGCUAGGGCAACACAGGAAAACCCUGUUUCCAAAAAACCAAACCAACUAACCAAACAAAUAAGUGUACACUUUGGUUCUUUUUUUUUUUUUUUUUUUCGGAGCUGGGGACCGAACCCAGGGCCUUGCGCUUCCUAGGCAAGCCCUCUACCACUGAGCUAAAUCCCCAACCCCAUGUGUACACUUUGAAGCCAACAUUUGUGGCAUUCUGUCGCAACAGCGAUGCUGAAAUUAAUGCCCGUGACUUUUAGUUGUUUUUGGCACAAAACAAACAAACAAACAAACAAACAAAACAAAACAAAACAAAACCAAAAAAAAAAAAAAAACCACUCUGAAAUGCUUCACCGCUAUUUAUCAGUGAUACAAUGCACUUAUAAAACUUUCCUGAAUGAUAAUAAUGGACCAUAGGAACCAAUUUUAAAAUUAGGAGUGACGUCAAGCAAAUAAUGAACAAAAGGCCUCCAGGCCCGCAAGGUUCUCCAUCUCACAGCCUAUCAGAUUAAGAGAAAGCUGGCGUAUUAACAUGCUUUUAAAAGUUAAGUAAUUGGGCAACUAAAACACGGGUUUCUAUGCUAAAUAUGCGUGCUUGCUUCCACUAAGAUGCCAUUUGCUGUAGUUUACUGUAGGCUUCGUCCUAGCACAGCACACACUCAGCUUCUUUCUCUUCUUGGUAAUGCAUGUUACAUGCGAGUAACUAAGGGAGUUUAAAGCAAUGUUAUAGCAUGUAAAUAACAAUAAAUCACCUCCCCCUCCUCCAAGCUUCCACUUUCACUCAAAAGUGCUAAUAUUAGCCCAAUACCUCUACUUAAAUUAUGGCCUCCCAUUCAACCAGAGAGUAUACAUUAUUCUUGUGCUCUCUCUUGAAUGCGCUGCCUAAGAAGACGCACCGAGAUAAAUAAACGCAAUAUUUCAGAGGAGGAAAAAAAACGCAGGCGAACAGAAUCCGUUUACAAAUACAGCAAUCAGACACCAGCAUCUGCUAUAACUACUUACUUAUAAGAGGGGGUGGGGAGACUCACUUAAGUAUCCACAAUAAAUUCACUCCGGCAAAUGCACUGAAUUCCUUCCAAGGAAAAGGCUGCACUCACAUCCCAGCAUACAGAUGAGACCUCUUAGACUUGUCAUUCCAUCUAUAACUGGGAACUAGAAUAUUCUUUGGUUUCAUCACCCAUCAGACUGCCUAGCUGGGUUCUCUGUCACUAUGUUUUCUUCUAUUCUCUCUCUCUUUUUCUGCAUAUAUAUAUAUACAUAUACAUAUACACAUAUAUAUGUGUGUAUAUAUACAUAUAUGCACACACAUAAUGUGCAUAUAUUCAUAAUAUUCAUAAUAUAUCUUCAUAAUAUAUGCAUAUGUCUAUAAUAUAUGCACACAUAUAUUAAAUAGGCUUGGGUCAGUUUUAUUUUUCACUGUUUUUGUUAUCAAACUUAAGGUUAACUAAGUCUGCUAUUAGCUUAUAGGUAGUAAUAUUCCACUAAAAAUUAAUUCAUAUGGAAAAUACCAGGUUAGAAGCUGCUUCUUCAUGUUUUUGGAACAUUGGUAACAUGCAGAGUCAGUCACUUUGUGGAAAACUGGUUUGGUAAUGCCUUCCCUGUGGGGACUUGGGAAUACUUUGCAACAGACAAGCUUUUGAAAACUGGCCAGAUGUGGGGCUUCAUCAGAUGGUCAGGAUGCAGAAUGUCCCUUACUGAAGGACAGUUAUCCCUUAUGGAAAAUGCAAUCAUUAGUCAUAGUUUGUGGGGGACUGGUUCCAGGGACUCUCUGGGAGUCCAACAUCUAUGGGUGCCCACUACCUUCAAACACAAUGACAAUGUUUUCCCAAAACCAGUGGGCCUCCUUGCAGAUGCUGGGUGUCCUUGGUGGAUCAUGUGCCAUACCUAAUAUAGAAUGAACAAUACACAAGUAGUUGUAUUAUAUUUUAUGAAGACACAAUGACGAAAGGGCUGCACGUAUUAAAUCACUCUGUGGAGUUUGUAAAGAUGUUUAUAUCUUCCAUAUCUCCAUUUCCUUGGCUGGUUGAAUCCAUGAAUGUGGGGCCCAUAGACAUGUUGCCUGCAGGAACAGAGGCUGACUGUGCCGUACUACCAAGACAUGAGGAACUCAGUAUAAGAAACUUUUUGAGCAAGGGUCUUCAACGUGCAUAGAUGACCUUCUGGGCCAGGACUUUUCUGCCUUAGGUGAGGGGUGGUUUGAAGGACUGACAUGUACACAUCAGGUCAUUUAGAAGGAUAUCUGUUAGAUGCCAGUAACACUUUGCCAUUCAAACACAACAAUAAAACCACCUCUGGAUACAAGGUCUUUGGUGAGGUGGGGAGUGGGCAAUGCC